CGCCUUGCCAGCCCGCUCAGAACUCAAAGGAAUUGACGGGGCCCGCACAAGCGGUGGAGUAUGUGGUUUAAUUCGAUGCAACGCGAAGAACCUUACCUGGUCUUGACAUCCCGGAGACCCUUAGGAAACUAGGGGGUGCUUCCAUCUGGAAGAAUCUGGAGACAGGUGCUGCAUGGCUGUCGUCAGCUCGUGUCGUGAGAUGUUGGGUUAAGUCCCGCAACGAGCGCAACCCUUGCCUUUAGUUGCCAGCAGUUCGGCUGGGCACUCUAAAGGGACUGCCGGUGUUAAACCGGAGGAAGGUGGGGAUGACGUCAAGUCCUCAUGGCCUUUAUGACCAGGGCUACACACGUACUACAAUGGCCGAUACAAAGGGCAGCGACACUGCGAGGUGAAGCCAAUCCCGUAAAAUCGGUCUCAGUCCGGAUUGGAGUCUGCAACUCGACUCCAUGAAGUUGGAAUCGCUAGUAAUCGUGGAUCAGAAUGUCACGGUGAAUACGUUCCCGGGCCUU
rnacentral:rRNA from 1 species